rnacentral:rRNA from 1 species
UGGGGAAUAUUGCACAAUGGGCGCAAGCCUGAUGCAGCCAUGCCGCGUGUAUGAAGAAGGCCUUCGGGUUGUAAAGUACUUUCAGCGGGGAGGAAGGGAGUAAAGUUAAUACCUUUGCUCAUUGACGUUACCCGCAGAAGAAGCACCGGCUAACUCCGUGCCAGCAGCCGCGGUAAUACGGAGGGUGCAAGCGUUAAUCGGAAUUACUGGGCGUAAAGCGCACGCAGGCGGUUUGUUAAGUCAGAUGUGAAAUCCCCGGGCUCAACCUGGGAACUGCAUCUGAUACUGGCAAGCUAGAGUCUUGUAGAGGGGGGUAGAAUUCCAUGUGUAGCGGUGAAAUGCGUAGAGAUGUGGAGGAAUACCGGUGGCGAAGGCGGCCCCCUGGACAAAGACUGACGCUCAGGUGCGAAAGCGUGGGGAGCAAACAGG